rnacentral:ncRNA from 2 species
AACAGCUUUCGGGGCAGGGUGAGGCUCCUUUGGGAGCUAAUUCCCGAUCGGCGGUAUGGCACAGUUCUUGUGUCGAGCCCGCGAGCCAUUUUAUGGCAGACCCGGUGAGAGGCCGGGGCCGACGGUAUAGUCCGGAUGAAAGAAAGCGCAG